rnacentral:rRNA from 1 species
UAGUCCACGCCGUAAACGAUGGAUACUAGUUGUUGGGAUUUAUCUCAGUGACUAAGCGAAAGUGAUAAGUAUCCCACCUGGGGAGUACGGUCGCAAGACUGAAACUCAAAGGAAUUGACGGGGCCCGCACAAGCGGUGGAGCAUGUGGUUUAAUUCGAUGAUACGCGAGGAACCUUACCAGGGCUUAAAUGUAGUAUGACAGGUUUAGAGAUAGACUUUUCUUCGGACAUAUUACAAGGUGCUGCAUGGUUGCCGUCAGCUCGUGCCGUGAGGUGUCAGGUUAAGUCCUAUAACGAGCGCAACCCCUGUCGUUAGUUGCCAGCAAGUAAAGUUGGGGACUCUAGCGAGACUGCCUACGCAAGUAGAGAGGAAGGUGGGGAUGACGUCAAAUCAUCACGGGCCCUUAACGUCCUGGGGCCACACACGUGCUACAAUGGGUAUGGGACAAUGAGCAGCCAUCUGGGCAACAGAGAGCAAAAUCUAAUAAACCAUAUCACAGUUCGGGAA